AUUGAACGCUGGCGGCAUGCCUUACACAUGCAAGUCGAACGGCAGCGGGGACUUCGGUCCGCCGGCGAGUGGCGAACGGGUGAGUAACGUAUCGGAACGUACCUUUCAGUGGGGGAUAACGUAGCGAAAGUUACGCUAAUACCGCAUAUUCUGUGAGCAGGAAAGCAGGGGAUCGCAAGACCUUGCGCUGGUUGAGCGGCCGAUAUCAGAUUAGCUAGUUGGUGAGGUAAAGGCUCACCAAGGCGACGAUCUGUAGCGGGUCUGAGAGGAUGAUCCGCCACACUGGAACUGAGACACGGUCCAGACUCCUACGGGAGGCAGCAGUGGGGAAUUUUGGACAAUGGGGGCAACCCUGAUCCAGCCAUGCCGCGUGAGUGAAGAAGGCCUUCGGGUUGUAAAGCUCUUUCGGCCGGGAAGAAAUCGUAUGGGUUAAUACCCUGUGCGGAUGACGGUACCGGCAUAAGAAGCACCGGCUAACUACGUGCCAGCAGCCGCGGUAAUAC
rnacentral:rRNA from 1 species